CUUGGUCAUUUAGAGGAAGUAAAAGUCGUAACAAGGUUUCCGUAGGUGAACCUGCGGAAGGAUCAUUAAAGAAUGCCCCGUUUUUUGAAAUGGGUUCUAUUCCCAAACCGUGUAUACAUACCUUUGUUGCUUUGGCAGGCCGCCUUCGGGCGUCGGCUCACGCUGACCGCGCUUGCCAGAGGACCCAAACUCGUUUGUUUAGUGAUGUCUGAGUACUAUAUAAUAGUUAAAACUUACAACAACGGAUCUCUUGGUUCUGGCAUCGAUGAAGAACGCAGCGAAAUGCGAUAAGUAAUGUGAAUUGCAGAAUUCAGUGAAUCAUCGAAUCUUUGAACGCACAUUGCGCCCCUUGGUAUUCCGAGGGGCAUGCCUGUUCGAGCGUCAUUAUGACCACUCAAGCCUAGCUUGGUAUUGGGGUUCGCAAUCUCGCGGCCUUUAAAAUCAAUGGCGGUGCCAUCUGGCUCUAAGCGUAGUAAUUUAUCUCGCUAUUGGGUCCGGUGGUUGCUUGCCAACAACCCCCAACUUCUAAGGUUGACCUCGGAUCAGGUAGGGAUACCCGCUGAACUUAAGCAUAUCAAUAAGCGGAGGA
rnacentral:rRNA from 1 species